UUACAAGUAAUUGACUCAAAUACCCAUCUCUUCAACAAAGCAGCAAAAAAAUACGAAAUGCCACUGAAUUUAUCACCACAUUCUCUGCAACUCUCACCUUUAGGUUCUUCAAACUUUACAAACAAUUUUCCACAAAUUCACAAUCCUACACUUUCAUGGCAUCCUUGCAAAAAUCUCCGCCAGACCCAUAUAACCUGCGUUUCAACCCGACCCAGAAAGAAACGGUUUCCCAUCAGUGAGGAAUCAGAGACCGAAGACCUGGUUCGAUACGUGUUGAGGAGUUUUAGUAGUGAUAAAGUGCCAUUGGUGCGGACACUUGAUAAAUAUGUAAGAGUUGUUAGAACUGAACAUUGUUUUUUGCUGUUUGAAGAGCUUGGCAGGCGUGACAAGUGGCUUCAAUGCCUUGAGGUGUUUAGAUGGAUGCAGAAACAGCGUUGGUACAUAGCAGAUAGUGGUGUUUAUUCGAAGUUGAUUUCUGUUAUGGGGAAGAAAGGUCAAACGCGGAUGGCCAUGUGGCUUUUCUCUGAGAUGCGUAACAGCGGGUGUCGACCAGACUCUUCUGUUUAUAAUGCACUCAUUACAGCCCACCUCCAUUCCAAGGAUAAAGCAAAGGCUUUAAUCAAAGCUCUUGGUUACUUUGAGAAAAUGAAAGGUAUGCAACGAUGUCAGCCCAAUGUUGUGACUUACAACAUUCUUUUGAGAGCUUUUGCUCAAGCUCGAAAUGUAAAUCAAGUUAAUGCUUUGUUCAAAGAUCUUGACCAGAGCAUUGUUUCUCCUGAUAUUUAUACAUAUAAUGGUGUGAUGGAUGCUUAUGGCAAAAAUGGAAUGAUCAGAGAAAUGGAAUCUGUUCUUUCUCGCAUGAAAAGUAACCAAUGCAAGCCUGAUAUUAUUACUUUUAAUUUGCUGAUUGACUCUUAUGGAAAGAAACAAGAUUUUGAUAAGAUGGAGCAAGUAUUUAAGAGCCUACUGCAUUCUAAGGAGAGACCAACUUUGCCAACUUUUAAUUCGAUGAUAACAAAUUAUGGGAAGGCACGGCAGAAAGAGAAUGCAGAGAGUGUUUUGCAGAAGAUGACCAAGAUGAAAUACACACCAAACUUCAUCACAUAUGAGAGUCUCAUCAUGAUGUAUGGAUUUUGUGACUCUGUUUCUAAGGCUAGGGAAAUUUUUGAUGAUAUGAUUGAAUCUGGGAAGGAAGUUAAAGUUUCAACAUUAAAUGCAAUGCUGGAUGUUUACUGUUUGAAUGGCUUGCCCAUGGAAGCAGAUUUACUAUUUGACAAUGCGCGUAAUGUUGGGUUGCUACCUGAUUCAACAACAUAUAAACUUCUUUAUAAAGCCUAUACUAAAGCUAACAUGAAGAAGCUUGUGCAGAAACUACUAAAGCAUAUGGACAGAGAUGGUAUUAUCCCCAAUAAAAGGUUCUUCCUAGACGCUCUGGGGGCCUUUAAAUCUUUACCAGCAAGUUCAGGCAAUCAACAGAAUAAUGCAAAGACUUAGGCAGGAUAAUCAGUGAUUGUUUUGUGUAUUCUUCAUAUCUUUUCCCAGUUAAGGAAAACUUAAGAUAAAGCUUCAUUACAAUUUGCAAAGGAACGCUUGGCCACUUUAGCAUCUAAUUAAUUCUCCUGCGAAUGGGAUAGCUUAGCCUUGGCAAGAAACCAGAUUAGGACAUUCAACCCAGUACUUACACAUUAGGACAUUCAAAUGAAUUUUCUUGAAAAUCUCGGCGAAGAAGGAAAGAUCUUCCAACAUUGCGCUUUACAGGUCCCCUUUAGCUGCUGGUGCUGCAUUGACAGUUGAAAAGCUACCUUUGUUUAUACAGAUAUUGUAAAGUAUGAAAAUACCAGAUCUUAUGAUCCUUCAGAUCAAAUGUAAUCUUUCUUUAGACUUAUUUAUCAAGGGGUAUUGCAUCGCAUUUUUUAGCAAAGA